AGUGGGAGAAAAGAAUGAACAUCUUUUGUACAACAAAUUUCUGACAAUUUUAUCUUCAGUUAACUUAUAUUUUAGUCUACAGACUCCAUAGUCACAUCAGUGUCUAUUGUUGCCAAAGUAAUAAGCAACUGGGGUCCAUAAGGAAAAGGUAAUAGAACUGAGAAAGGGAGAAUAAAAGGAUCUCAUUAAGGUGUUAAAAUGCCUCGUAGUAAUAUUUCUUUGACAUUUCAUAUGUAUCCUUAGGAUCUAAUCAACAUGUCCUGUGAAGCUGUCUGGAUCAAGGACAUCUCUCCACUUUUUCAGGAAAUAAAGGACAGUGAUGAAUUACAUGGAAGGUCCCAAGAUAUUCCUCAAGAGUCUCCUUCUGGCCACACUGCCAAACACAUCACGUGCAUGUGCCUCAGAACCUUAGCUUUCACCCUCCCUGGUAUAUUCUCCUUCCUUUAUCUCAGUUUUGAGUUUUCACUUGUCUUUGAGGCCCAACCAACUAGCAAUAUCUCAAGAAAAGUAUCUCUGGAGAACGACUUUGCUUUACUAUGAACUCCUGCAAUACUUUUUACUUCUAUUGUUAACAUUUCACUUGGUUAAAUUGUACUUACUGUGCUUUUUUUCAUGUCCUGUCUCACUUACUGGUUUUAUAUAACAAUGAUAAUAUAAACUACUAUUUAUUAAGCAGUUUUUCAAAGGCAGACGCUGUACUAAAAUUUUGACAGUCUUUAUCUAAUUGAUUGUUGACAAAAGCCCUAGGAGGUAGGCAUUACAAAGGAAGUAACAGAGGGUCAGAGAUGUUAUGAUAACUCUCCUGAAUUUCACAGCUUGUGAGAGGUGGAGCUAUUACUUUUCAUCAUGAUGCACUUUGAGAUUAUAUUAUGUAUCCAUCUCCUAUUUUUCUAUAAGGGUUAUUGUGAAGCAUCAAGCUCAUAAUUCCUAAAUACACAAAGAGGACCCUAGUCAUCUAUGGGUAGCUGUGCUAUUCCUUAUGGUACAAAUAGAAAGUGGAUGAAUGAAGAAAAAUAAAAACACCAAGUUGGCACUUUUUAUUUUCUUAAUUUAAAAUAUUUUCUUAAUUUCAUAACAUCCUGUGUAGCCAGUCUAUGGAUGAAAAAUGUUUAGAUCAAUACCACAACUUUGUAACUUAUUGACUCC
rnacentral:lncRNA from 1 species